AGAAACAACAAAUAAUAGAGCAGAUUUUGAUGAAGCUAAUGUAUUUAUUGUAAAUAUUUUGAAAUGGAAAGAGUUGAGUUAAGAUAAGAACAUAAAAAGAGAAGAGAGAGGCAUGAUGAGUGGUUGUCCAUGCCAGUAGAAGCUAGGGGGGAUGAACUUCAUCACUACUAAAUCAAGGUCCACACCCCUCGAUCGUGAACCCCAUCAUGUUGGGUAAUAUGAACUUCACCAACUCAUGGCCCACACCCCUCCCUAAUGUGGGUCCUGCGUCACAUAUACACAACCCACAACUCCAAGG
rnacentral:lncRNA from 1 species